UGCUGAUCUGAUCACUUGUGGAAGAAAGCGUACAGUAUAUUUAAGUGUAUAUAGAAAUUAGGGUUUUCGUUACAAUAAGCCCAUACCAUUUAUUGAAAACCUUAUUAUGUGUUGUUAAAAAGCCCAUUACCUCCACUGAUCUUCUUUUAUGUUUUUAGCAUAUAUACUAGAAACUUGGGUCUCAAGCUCUUGGGUUGUACGGUUGU